rnacentral:lncRNA from 10 species
CCUUAGUCCUUCCUGCAGCAGCUUCAUCUCAUUCUGGCUCCUAAGAGCUGGACCUGCUCACCCUGCCCUCUCCUCCUAGGGGCCAGGAGACCAUCUCUUAGUAAGUGAAAGGGAUGCAGUGGUCCUGGGGGAUGGCGGCAGUGGGAUGGACCGCUGAUGUUACCUCCACUGUCAUAAGCAAGGAAACUAAGCUCUGAGGAACCACCCAGCUACUGAGAGGUGGAGCCAGGAUUUGAACCAUUCAGGACCCUGGCAGAGAAGGCUGCCGGGGGGCCGGCCACCACCGUGUGGGGUUAGUUCCAGGCAGCAGCGUCCCGGUGGCUUUCAUCCUUCACCUUUGUACAUCCUGGCCGUGUUUGACAUCUUUACGGUGAGCUCGUGCCGUUCUAUAAACAUACGUCCUUUUCUUCCUUAAAGAACAGCAAAAAGUUGCCUGGAGUGACUGGAAGCAACCCUCGCAGGACAUUAGCAAGGAUUAGUUCUGGGCGGGAGAAAGCAGGGUGGAGCCCCAUCACCUCUGCUUCCAAAACAUUUCCAUCACCCGAAAUGGGAAACCCCAUUCCUCCCGCCGAGCCCUGGCAACCAACAAUCUGUGCUCAUCUCUAUGAUGUGCCCACUCUGGGCAUUUU